ACCCGCUGAACUUAAGCAUAUCAAUAAGCGGAGGAAAAGAAACCAACAGGGAUUGCCUUAGUAACGGCGAGUGAAGCGGCAAAAGCUCAAAUUUGAAAUCUGGCGCCUUCGGUGUCCGAGUUGUAAUUUGAAGAAGGUAACUUUGGAGUUGGCUCUUGUCUAUGUUCCUUGGAACAGGACGUCACAGAGGGUGAGAAUCCCGUGCGAUGAGAUGCCCAAUUCUAUGUAAAGUGCUUUCGAAGAGUCGAGUUGUUUGGGAAUGCAGCUCUAAGUGGGUGGUAAAUUCCAUCUAAAGCUAAAUAUUGGCGAGAGACCGAUAGCGAACAAGUACAGUGAUGGAAAGAUGAAAAGAACUUUGAAAAAGAGAGUGAAAAAGUACGUGAAAUUGUUGAAAGGGAAGGGCUUGAGAUCAGACUUGGUAUUUUGCGAUCCUUUCCUUCUUGGUUGGGUUCUCCGCAGCUUACUGGGCCAGCAUCGGUUUGGAUGGUAGGAUAAUGAUUAAGGAAUGUGGCUCUACUUCGGUGGAGUGUUAUAGCCUUGGUUGAUACUGCCUGUCUAGACCGAGGACUGCGUCUUGACUAG
rnacentral:rRNA from 1 species